GAGACUGCAGUAAAUCGCUUAGGCCCUUCUUAUAGCCGUCUCCGCCUCACUGGUGAAAUUGAAAAGCUGGAUAAAGACCUUGCUGACAUGGUUCGUGUUGCCUCUGUUCGACAUUCCCAGGAUUCAACCAAAUGCAAGUUAGAAGAGUAAAAGGAGACAACAGGCAAGUUAUAGUAACUAUUUGUGCAUACACCAUACAUUUUAUAGGAUUGAACCUAGCUUUGGAACAUCGAAACUGUUUGCAACCUAGUUCCACCACUGAAUGUAUUUUUCUAUAUCUUUCAAGAGGAUUGAACCUAGCUUUGUUAAUACACCAUACAUUUUAUAGGAUUGAACCUAGCUUUGGAACUUUGAAACUGUUUGCAACCUAGUUCCACCACUGAAUGUAUUCUCUGUAUCUUUCAAGAGGUGUUGAAUGAAAGCCACUACCAAUAGACAAAAUGUUGAAGGAAGCCAAUACAAGAUUUUCUUUGGCUGCAUCUGGGUGUUUUGAGUCUCCAGCUUCCGUCUUUUGUUUGAAAAAUUCCUUGAAGAUCAUUCAGUGGACUGAGCUUUGCUGUAGUCUAUCAAACCACUACCAGUUCUUCACUGAGUCUUGAAUUAUAGAGAUGUUAGUUAACAAAGAAUGAUCAACCAGUGGGCUACCUCUUGCCAAGCUAAGAAUAUGUUUGAUGGUGAUUUUAGAAAGCAUUUCUAAUCUUUUCAACACUUGAAAAUUGUUAUUAAAAAAAAUUGUUUUCAAGUGUUAGAAAAGUUAGAAACGCUUUAAUUAUUGUUAAACAUGAUAGGCCAAUGAUGUUUGAUAAAAUCGAAAAUUUAGAACCCAGCUACAGGAGAUGUAGGAAUGGAGAGCUUUUCCCGUUUCCAUCUGGUCUUUGGUCUUAUAACUUUCACUUUGCCAAAUAGGGUUCUGUGGUCGGUCUCCUGACCGUGCUUUAGUAAUAAAUUAUGAGUAGUGGAAAUGAAAUUUAACUAUUGAGUCGAGUUCAAAUGUUUGAUAAAUAAAACAAUUGAAAGUUUGAAAGAAUUUUUUGAAAGUAGUUUUUUGUACAAAUUCUUACCAUUCUUUCAUGAAUAAACAUAAGGUGAGUUUGAAAGUUUGAAAGAAUCUUCCAAAAUCCUGUUAGAUUAUAACUUAGGCCAACCCGCCCAGAUUUCACCAGUGAAUGCCACACAAAAAUGCUAAGGAGAUCAGUGACAGAUAGGCCUCACCAUCCUUGUCUAUUAUUCCCUGAUCAAUCAGCUUUUUGAUGCUAAGUCCCUGAGCAAAAGUCAUGGCUGCAUCUGAACAGAGAGCAGCUCUUCAAAUUCCCAUCUUAGCUACAACUUCCAGGGCCCAUCCUAGACACACAUCAGCAACAACACAAGUGAUCUCUUGGCCUUCGUCCCUGUUAAUCUCUUUCAUGAGCUCCUCCAAACAGGGUUCAAAAAAUCGGCCGAAUCCGGUAUGACUCGGCCGAGUCGUAUCCGCCUCGACACCGGCCGCGACGAGUCUGAUACCAAAUACAGAUUUAUACUUAGACUCGGCCUUGAAUUGGUUGGACUCGGAUGACUCGGUUGAUAUUCCGAGUUAACUUGGUUGACUCGAUAAAAAAAAAAACCAAUCAAGAGAUUCCUCUCCUUUCCCAUCGCAACAAGAAUCAAAAUUUUUCAGAGAAAUCAGGGAUUCCUCUGCAAAAGAAAACACUUGUGAAUUUGUGAUUCACAAACAAGUUUGAAAAAAACAAACCCGUGAAAAUUUGAAACAAACCUGUGACCCUUUCAAAAGCCUUUAAAAAGAGAAAAAUCAACAAAGGAUGAGACACAGUUGAAGAUUUACUUACUUGACCCUAAAUCUACCAUUGUUGGAGUGUAGAUCUUUCAUCUUUGGUGCGUUGUCGGUGCCACAACGGUGACUGGACACCGGCAAGGCAACCCUCCUCCCUCCGAUUGUGGUUGUGUGGUAGUAGUCAAUGUGUUGGGGAAGGUUCAAGUCGUCCGACAGUCUGCAAAACGUGGUCAUCAUGGUAUGUUGGGGAAGAUAGCAGAUAAAUCGCGUUUUGAGGAAGACAAGCCAGCAAAUAAAGGUAAAGUUUGAUUUACCUUAUUUAAAUCAACACACCCACAUUGUCAUAGUCACACUAGAUUAUAUUUUUAAUUUAUUAAAUCAAAUUAUAUAAAUUGAUAAAUUAUAUUUUGUUGGCUAAUUUGAUUCAUAAUUUGAGAUUAGAUUUAAAAAAUUACACAAUUUGAAUCAAUUAAAAAUAUAUUUAAAAUUUGAUUUACCUUAUUAUGUUGAGAUUAUAUUUUUAAUUUAUUAAAUUAUGUAAUUUUUUAUUUUAUAAUAUUAAAUUGAUUUACAUGUAUUUAAAUGAGUACAAUUAGGAAAUUCAUGUAUGCAGUGUAAAGUAAUGUUUAGAUGUAAUGUUAUGAAAUUGAAGAAUUUGAAAGCAAUGUUUAUAUGAAAUUGGAGAAUUCAUAAUGAUAAUAUUAUGAUGGUAUUAAAUAUAUUUAUAUGUAAUGUUUUUAUUUUAUAUAGAGAUUAUAUUUUUAAUUUAUUAAAUUAUGUGAUUUUUUUAUCUUAUAAUAUUAAAUUGAUUCACUAAAUUAUUUUUGUAUGGUAUAGAAAUAUAAAUUACAUUUAUAUGGUAAACUUUAUAUGGUAUAGAUAUUAUAUUUUUAAUUUAUGUUUUUAUCUUAUAAUAUUGAAAAAUUAAAUUACAUUAGAAAAUUAAUAAUUAUUUAAAACAAAUUUUCUUUUUCAAAUAAUCAUAACUAUAAAAGUAACGAUUUAAUAAUACAGAUUAAAUGGUAUGCAUUUACAUGGUAUAAAGAAAUUAUAUGUAUAUUUGAAUCAAUUUUACUUCAUUAUAUCAUGUAUAUUUUUUUUUAUUUUAUAAUAUUUUACAAUUAAAUUACAAUAGGAAAUCAAUAAUUAUCAAAACAAUAAAUUGGUUCACUAAAUUAUUUUUGUAUGGUAUAGGAAUUCUAUUUCAUAAUAUAAAAUACAUUUAUAUGGUAAACUUUAUAUGAUAUAGAUAUUGUAUUUUUAAUUUAUGUUUUUAUCUUAUAAUAUUGCAAAAUUAAAUUACAUUAGAAAAUUAAUAAUUAUUUAAAACAAUUUUUUUUUUCAAAUAAUCAUAACUAUAAAGUAAUAAUUUAAUAAUACAGAUUGAAUAAUAUGCAGUUACAUGGUAUAGAGAAAUUACAUUUAUAUUUGAAUAAAUUUUACUUCAUUAUAUCAUGUAGAUUUUUUAUUUUAUAAUAUUCUACAAUUAAAUUACAAUAGGAAAUCAAUAAUUAUCAAAACAAUAAAUUGGUUCACUAAAUUAUUUUUGUAUGGUAUAGAAAUUAUAUUUCUUAAUAUAAAAUACAUUUAUAUGAUAUAGAUAUUGUAUUUUAAAUUUAUGUUUUUAUCUUAUAAUAUUGCAAAAUUAAAUUACAUUAGAAAAUUAAUAAUUAUUUAAAACAAUUUUUUUUCUUUUCAAAUAAUCAUAACUAUAAAAGUAAUGAUUUAAUAAUAUGAUGGAAGGAUAUGCAUUUACAUGGUAUAAAGAAAUUACAUUUUUAUUUGAAUCAAUUUUACUUCAUGUAGAUUUUUUAUUUUAUAAUAUUCUACAAUUAAUUACAAUAGGGAAUCAAUAAUUAUCAAAACAUUAAAUUGGUUCACUAAAUUAUUUUUGUAUGGUAUAGAAAUUAUAUUUCUUAAUAUAAAAUACAUUUAUAUGGUACAGUUUAUAUGAUAUAGAUAUUGUAUUUUUAAUUUAUGUUUUUAUCUUAUAAUAUUGCAAAAUUAAAUUACAUUAGAAAAUUAAUAAAUAUUUAAAACAAUUUUUUUUUUCAAAUAAUCAUAACUAUAAAAGUAAUUAUUUAAUAAUACGAUUGAAGGGUAUGCAUUUACAUGGUAUAAAGAAAUUACAUUUUUAUUUGAAUCAAUUUUACUUCAUUAUAUCACGUAGAUUUUUUAUUUUAUAAUAUUCUAUAAUUAAAUUACAAUAGGAAAUCAAUAAUUAUCAAAACAAACUUUUUUAAAAGAGUUUUUUUUAUAAAAAUAUUCAUUUAUUUAACUAUUAUUUAUUUUAAUUAAAAAACAUAUAAAUAAGUGAAAAAUAAAAGAUGGUGAACUUAGGUGAGAUCAUGUUUAUUGCUUUUUUAGUAGAAUUUAUUUUUAUAUGGUAACAAUAUGAAAUAUAUAAGUGAAUGGAAAAUUGAAUAUUAUAAUUCUUAUAUAAAUAUGUUUAUAUAUAUUUAAUUUGAAAAGUAAGUUGUUUUCCUUUUAUACAUGGUUAGGUUAAAAUUUCAAAAUGGCUUCAAAAUAUGAUAUUGGUUGGGAGCAUGCAGAACCUGUUGGUGGUAGUAGAAGAACCACGAAGUGUAAAUAUUGUGGGAAAGUUAUACAUGGCGGUAUAACAAGAUUAAAACAACACAUCGUUGGGUCAUCUUCAAUGACAUCCCAUUAGUCUAAAUCGGUUGAUUGUAAAAACCAAGUCAUUUUAAUUUUUCAAUAGAGAUAAUCGGUUUCCAUAAAAAAAUUGGAGGCUAUUGGUUGCAAAAAUCUCAAUGUGAGAUGAGCUUGAUGGAUUAGUCAUUUCCUUUUAGAUGGUUAAAUCUUAAAUAAGAAGUCUAACUCUAAUACUAAUUGAGAAAAUAAAGGUUAAUCCUAAUAGAGAAAAACACCCAAUAAGGGGGAAAGAUGAGGGAGGGAGGGGGUUGAAUCGGGGUUUAAAAAAAUUCUUUUUCAAACACAAUAAAUUUAAGCACAAGAAACACAAAUAUAAAGAGAUAAGGUUAGAAAAAACAAACUCAAAUUUUAUAGUGGUUCGAUACUUCCUUGCUUACAUCCACUAUCCUUAAGUUCCUAAUUGAGUGAGGGUCCUACUAUACUUGAAGCUUCAACCAAGCUUCUAAUCACCUUUACACUUGGAUUCUGACUCCAAUGGGCUCUUACAUAAGCCUUUCAAGUCUCUACUCACUUCAAACUUUUAACACUCAAAUAAUAAGCUUAAAUCUCUCAACCUAACUUAAUAAGGGCUCAAAUACAACUUAAAAGUAAGGAAGAAUCACAAAGGUGCACUAAGGAAUAAGAAAAUGGAGCUUUAAUACACUAAAGAAAGAAUGUGAGCUUUUAAGGCAAGAACAAGUAUGUAAAAAUAUAAAUGCAGGUGUGUAGACUCCCAUUUGGGGCUUGUUCAUUUUUUUGUUUCUGCAGGUUAUCUUACUAGAUGUCAUAGCCCUGGAAGUCCACGUGUCACUUUGUGGAUGGCUGCCAGAGAAUCAACAUUGCUUUUUGAAGUUGCAAUGGGAGGUCGACACCUAUUAUGGAAUCUUUUGGAAGCCGUUAUGCAAGAGCGUAGGAGAUAGAAGGUGAGAGAUUCUGGCAGAGGUGGAGGUGCGUUUGGAGACGUGUUGGUUGGAGAUAUUUCAGGAGGGAUAUCCUUUUCUUGAGGGGUAAGUUAUAGGAGCUAAAAAAAAAAGUUUUGGUUGAAGGGAGAGCAGACGGGAUAUUUUCGGAGUUGCUUGAGAGGAAGAAGCAUCCUGUUAGCUAUUGAGAGGGAGAGAUAUUUUUGAAAGGAUUUUUUCUUGGAGGGCAAGCUAGACGAAGGGGGGAGAUGAGCAAACUGAUUUUUUGAGGGAUUCCCUAGCUUUGAGAGAAAGCGGCUGCAAGGGACAUUUGGAAUGGAAGACAUUUUGAGAAGAUCCUUAGAGUUUGGGAAGCAAGCAACUACAAAAAAAAAAAAAAAAAAAAAAGGAAGGCUAAUUGGGGAUAAUCUCAGAGGAAGAAUGAGACUGUAACUACUGAAGCUUUAGAGCAAUGUUUUGGAGAACACCUUAGGUAUGGUUCCUUGGUACACUUCUCAUUCAUGCUUUCUCGCUAUCACUAGUCUUGAUCAUCCGAUCUUGCUACUUGAGUAUCGUCAUUUUAUCUUAUCGCACAUUGAGCUGCAUUGUUUUGUUUAAUAGGUAACUGUCGUGUUGUUUUGUUUGUUUGUUUUUUUUUUUUUAACUCGGUUUUUCAUUAAUCAUAUGAUUACUCCAUGUUUCUCCCACCCGUUCUGGGUCCUCUGAUUAACCAUGAUUAUACUCUAUUUUUUUUAGUAUUUCUUUUCUUUCUUUAUUCAUGUAUGUUGUAAGGUUAGAAUCUUAAAUCCAUUGGGUCUGAGGGAAGGCAAGAGAAAAUUGGUUUCUGCUAGUGAUGAGCAAGCGGUGGCAUUUGAUCCUGUAGAAGCAACACCCAUUAGAAAUCAAGCGUCGAGUUCCACUAGACUAACCAUCUAUUUUGGGUCUAAUUCAGAGCCUCAGGGAAGAACCCUUGGGAUUGUUUCCAAUAGGGUUUCAUUGUCGCCUCUGCAGUUACGAAUAGGUACCUUGGUUGAGGCUUAUGUGGGGAAAUUGGUAUUGUGGAUGCCUCAAUUCUUCUUGAUGUAUUGAGCUGAACGUUCUCGAAUUAGUUUUUCAAAUGAUACCGCAUUUGUUUAGUCAACACAAAAAUUUCAAAAUGGGUAGCUAAAGAAAUGAUGAAUCCUAUGAACGUGCUGAGGGGGGUAAGAUGCAAAGACGAGAAACUCAAGGAUGGGAGUCAUGGAAAUAUCCUUCAAAAACUGUCUGGUGAAGGUAUCCUUCAUGCCAAAGGAUUGACAACAGAAUAGUGAACAUUUCGAAGAUUUUCCAUGAGUCAAUUUGAAUACCUAUGGAAGCAAAGGCAAUAUUCUAAUUGAUCCAACAUCAUGGUGUGCCGCCUCAAGCGUGUAGCUAAGAGUAACAACUUCUUCUUCCAUCGGCACCUAAUCAGUCUCUAACACGUCCAUAGUGGCCGCUUCAGAAUAUUCAAACAACUACUGCACUUAGGAAUAUCUCUGACAUUCUGCAAUACUCAGUAGGGGAUUCAAUGCAGCAAGGGGCAUUUUCAAUUAUGCUUGUCAAUGCUCAAAUGCCACGUCAAGGAAGGUCACUAUGGUUCCACAACUAAAACAGUGACAGUCUCGUAGUCUUCAACAACACCUUCAUUAGCAGUAUGCCGCAACAUCGCCUUUUUGAAAUACAAGCUUCGUCAGAGAAAUAUCUAGCUUUCACCCAUGCAUAUCCUCCAUUCUUGAAGACCUAGUGUCCCACUCUUCCAAUCUUAUUUUCCAUGCAUUUCACUGCCAAACCCAUUAUUACACCCUCGUCUUUAACCUCAAACUGCUCAUAUCCAUCUCAUCCCAUACUCCCAUGCAUACCACUACCUUUCUCUCUCUACAUUAUUACCCAUAUCCAUUAAACUCAUUUUCUUCCAAUAUCCAUUUCGUUCAUUUUCCCAUUGUCUUCCCUUGCAAAUUCUCUUUCUUACUUCUACCUCAAAUGCAUGCAUGGCCACCCAUCAAGCCCAUAUGCCCAUAUUUCACACCAUGUACCCUUCAUUCCUAUUUUCCUUACCAUUUUUAGCUCCACUCAACUCUUAAUCCCAUAAACUUACCUCAUUCAUCAAUUUUUCUAUUCUUUCCAAACCCCACUAAACCCAUCAUCUCCAUUCCCAUUUUCUAAUACUUAUCAAGCCCAUUCCUUUCACCACUUUCCUCCAUCCAUUCCAUGCAUUUCCACAUUCACUUAUUGCCAAUCUUCUCGCGUGCAUGAAGCUCCAUGCAUGUAGCCGUCCUCCGGUGAAACCAAUGCGAGAUCAACAAGGAGAUCCCAUAUGACCCAAAAUCAUGCCCGCUUCUGGAUGAGUGUAGUCAAAUUCUGAUCGUCGCCAUUGACAGUGUCGAAGCCCACCAAUUGCCGAAUGUUCGCAGAGGCUUGCGUGAAGAUUUAGUGAUAUUCAUGAAUAAAAGCACUGUGUUGAAGCGUCCCUUCAGGCUUCAUGUUGUGAAGAGCGCAACCAGGCUUUCCUUCAUCUCGUUCAUCUGUUCAUUGGUAAUGUAUAUUUGGUUUUCAUAAGGAAUGAUCAUGAGGAAAUGAGUGAAGAGGUUGCUAAGUACAAGUUUUCAGUCUUGAGGUGUUUGAAUAUUACAGAAGGGGACCUCGUUAAGGAGUUUGUAGCUGAUGCACCCCAUGGAAACCCGAAUGUCCUAAGCGUUGAUUAUGCAGGUGUACCACCUGGCACCCUUAGAAGUUCAUGAACAGGAAGUUAAGCGAAAUUGCAGAUCAUUUCUAUGGAGGUAAGUCUUGGUUAUUCCAGUAUUCUUAACUUCCAUGGUCUUUAUGUAUUUUUCUUAGGAAAUAAUUAGAGAUUUCAAUCGAGGGAAAGAUAUUUGAUGUUAUUUCCAAACUUAUGGACCUGGCACUUGAGAUUAUGAUUCUAUUGACACUGGGUUGUGAAGGAAAUGUGCUCUAUAGGUUCAAUGAAGAAUAUCAUGAGAGCUAAUUGGUUUGUGCGAAUGAAGCUAACGGUGGGAUUGGUAAGCAAUUGGAGUAUUUCUGAGAAGAAAUGGUGAAAUUCCAUCAGCAAUGAGAAGAACAGAUCAUAUUAUAGAGAUACAUAAGGGUUUGUGGUCAUAUCUUGCUUUCGUCAUGAGUGAAGGUGUUGGGGUAUUAGUAAUGAAGAGCUUGGAACAUGCCAUGAAACGAGGUGCUCCAAUUGUUGUUGUGUACUUGGGAGGUGCAGUUGAUUGUAACGCUCAUCUUAUGGUUGAUCCAAGAUCUGAUGGGCUUGGUGUUUCAUUGUGUAUUGAGAGCAUCCUUGAGGGCGCUGAUGUCACUCAUCCUAUUCCAACUGAGGAAGUGGUGCUGAAUGUUAAUUCAUCGUCACAUGGAUAAUUGGCGUUUCCCAAUGGCUCCUCAAUAGCUGCAAGCAGUGAGGGGUGAGCAGGGCCCCACAAUGUCAUUGUCUAACCUGGUGGCUAUUCAAGCACCCAUACUACAUGGUCACCUUUAGCAUGGUCACCUUUGGGCCACGUGUCACCUUCCAAAUUCAUUCCCUUUGAUUUUAAAAAUAAUUUAUUAACCUUGUUUUUCAAAUAAUUUUCCAAAUCCCGACUUUUCAAAUAAUUCUAAUUCUCUAAAUCUUUCAUCCUUAUAAUUGUUAGCUACCAAAAUCUCAUUUUCAAUAAAACUUUGUUGCCAUUUUUCUUUCUAGCAAACAAUUUUCACUCCUCCCAUGAUCUUUAAAAUGUUUUAAAAUAAGUAGGAAUUAAAUCCCAUAAUUCCAAAUAAUGGAGUUAUUGGAAUUGAUUCAUGAAAAAUAAAAUGGGCUUUGGUGAGGGCCCAAUAUCAAAUAAAUUUUCUUUAAAAUAAAAAUGAACUCGAGUGAAGUGUUAUGUGUGUCAUUGAUGAUUUUGUAUAUUGUUUAGUGACAUGCCAACUAUAUUUUGUAUUUAUCAAUUGUUCACUAACCUCCUUUCUUGAUAGCACAUUAUGGAUUGUUGCCCAGGUACGUAUCUAUUCGCAUCCUGGUCAUUCUCUAUGCAUGUUCUGAUUCUCAUAUGUGCAUGAUCGAUUUGAGUAUCCAUUGCUUUUCUUAUUGACUGUCACGUCAGCUUCAUUUUAUUAGUAGAGACCCGACUUUAGGGACUUAGAGGGGUGCUAUGAUUUUUACUGUACCUUCCUGAUAAGUAACCUUACCUCCGAACCCGAUUCGAUUUUUCACAGACCACAUUUUCAAGGUUUUCUUUUUUAUUUUGUUUACCCUUUUAAAAAAAUAAAACAAAAAUAAGUGGUGACUCCAAGUCAUUUUCUAAUAAAUAAAUCAUUUUCAAAUAAAAAUCAAGCUCGCCAUUGAGUAGAAGUGCAUGAGCUGAAAUGUAGGGUUCACAAAAUGGCGACUCCGCUGGGAAUUGUUUAAAGGGUCAAGCUUGAACUUAGGAUGAAACAAAUGUGACAUUUGAUUGGUUGAUCAGUGGAUGUCUAUCUCUUGAUUGCACAUUGAGAGUUUUUUAUGCAUGCUUGGAAAUUGUAUUGGGACAUUGAUAUGAUUGAUUAUCUUUAUUGGGGCUUCCGAUGCCACGAUUUUUUUCGUGCUUCAUCGCUAUAUUUGUUUCAGACAUUGACAUGGUGGAUUGUUGUUGAUUGAUUAUCUUGCGUUGCUUAGCACAUCGACUCUGUUUUUGCCAUGAUUGUUCUGAUCACCUCGCAUGUAUAUAUUCAUUGUUGUAUAUCAUUUGACUUUAUGGGUUGAUUCUCAUGCCUGUAUAUUAUCUUGAUCGGCUUCGAUCAUGACGUCUGUAUCACUAUUCAUCUUGAUUGUCAUAUCUUGUGUGUGGACAUGGUGAUAUAUCUGUACUUUGCUUGAUUGUGUGUCACAUGAUUGUCCUCCUUCUGCAUGACUAUAUGUCGUUUGUCCAUGUGGGCCGCACAUCUAUCCCCUUACCUCUAACUCUCUUAGUUUCGGUCAUUCCCUUCAUUCUGGUUCUCAUUUUUGCAAGUGUGAGGUCUUGUGUUGUUUGUUACUCUAAUCAAGCCAAAGAUUAGGAGUAGGGUCUAGCGACGGGCUAUAUCGAUGUUUGGGAGCAUUUUGGAGGUGAGCGACACAUUGAUGUCGAUUGGAGUCCGAUCAUUAAAGACCUAUAUAGCCCAAAGCUAGGUUUCAUGGAUAUUUGCAUGGCCAACGUGUUUUCUCUUUUGUUUUAGCUUCAUAGGGUUUUCAGAUGCACCCACACUGCUCACUGCGCACUCUAGUUGACUAUAGAGUGUUAAGAGUUUUGAGAGUUUCACCAUAGGAAACCCCCUAGGAUGUCGAGGUAGUGCAUGUGUGGAGGUGAUGACCACCUUGCAUAGAAGUGCCCCGUCUCUUCAGAGGCAUGCAGAGGGUUGCAUACCGUCGGAGGGUAUGAUCACUUCUAUUAGGGAUCUUUUAAACUCCACUCAUAUCCAUUUAAAGCCACCUUGACCUCGUAGGUUGAGUCAUAGAUCCUUUGAUUAAGACUCCCUCCCUACAUGUGGGUGCAUCUAAGGGCCUUCAGAGCCUCUAUGGUUACAUUUUGGAUUCGACACUCCCUCAUUUUAGUCUCUAGUUGAGAGUGCACAAAGAUCAGUAUGAGUUUGAGUACGGUCGAAUAGUCCGUCGUCGUCUUGGAUGCUUUACUUUUUUCAGUUCAGAUUAUCAUUGCUUCCAUGUUUUCCCCGUGCCACGUCCUUAUUCCGUUCUUCAUGCUUUGUAAGAUCGGAUCUUCAUUCACAGUCUGGAUUCACCUUUUUGGGUCAGAGUAGAGGGAAGAUUAGUUCGAUACUUAGAGAAAUCAUAUAUGGAUCAACAGGUUGUUAUAGUGGAUCAGUUUACGACUGCUAUGACUUCUAUUCAGGAGGCUUUGGCUAGUGUCAGACAGAAGAUCGGUGGUCAGCAAAGUAGACCACCAACAGUUUAGGAUGAGACUCCUUACGACUCAUUGUCGCCUCCGCCACCUCCACCUAUUCCGACAGUGCCUCAAGCUUCACCCUAUUUGUUACAUGGACAUUCUGAGAUUAUUCCCCCCCUUCCCUGUUGUAGUUCAGACCAUGGUCAUUGAUGACGCCCAUGCGCGUAUGGAUCUUCUUGAGCAGCGCAUGAAGCAGUUGAGAGUGUCAGAUGGAUCAGCUGUUUGGGAUGAUCUUGAGGGUAUGCCGAUGGCCAGUUUGCCGGCUAAGUUUAGGAUGCCUGACAUCGAGAGAUACACAGACAUUGGCUGUCCUCGUAUCCACCUUCGACUCUAUAGCAUGGUGAUGAGAGCUCAUGGUUUGGACGAGUCUCAAAUGAUCACUCUAUUCCCACUAUCUCUGAGUGGGGCGGCCUAACAUUGGUUUGCAUCCUUGGAUUCCUCACGAUGCUGGACAUGGGAUGACUUGGCCUAGGAGUUUUUACGACAGUUUUCAUUUAACAUUGUUGUAGAUGUAUCGAGGAGAGAACUCAAGGCUCUGAGACAAAGGGCGGAUGAGUCCAUUUCAUCAUUCAUCUCCCGUUGGCACGAGAAGAUUGCUGAGAUCAUUGACAGGCCUUCAGAGAGAGAUCAGAUAUAGAUGGUUUUGAGGAGCCUACAACUCAGGAUUGCUAGGCACGUGGUCGGGGGUACCAUUCAUAGAUUUUGGUUCUCUAGUUUUGGCCCUUUACGAUGUCGAGGAUGGUAUUUCUAGAGGUUCGUGGACAGAUUCUUCCCCUAGUGAUGUUAAAGGAAAGAAACCCUCUGGGGGAUAGAGGUUAGGUGAUGUGAGUGCCAUCAGUUCUUCCAGUCAGAGGUCUCCUAGGUGUCAUAAGCCGAUUCCACAGCAUCCCAAGACUCAUCCUUUUUAUGCACCUCAUCAAUAGGCCACGGGCACCUUGUCCUACUUAUGAUCAGACCUACAUGCCACAGACUUUAGCUUUGCCUUACUAUGCCACCCAGGGCAUUGAGAAACCAUCGGUUUCAUACACAUCCACAAGACAGCUAUGCUAUGCUGCUUAGUUCACUUCAAGACCCACAACGCCUUAUCCCCUACCUAGAGCUCAGUAGACUUUUGUUCCAUUCGCUUUGAGGACGCAGAGACAGUUUUCACAGUUAGGCAUGCUAUUGAGCCAGACUCUUUGGAAGCUUACAGAGGUCGGGUUCUUGACCGCUUUCACUCCCAGGCUACCACCUUAGCCUAUUCCACCUCAGUUCAGGAUGGAUCUGCACUGUGCAUACCAUCAAGGGCUUGGACACGAGACCGAUCGUUGCACCACUUUGAGGUAUGUUAUCCAGGACUUGAUCGAUCAGGGUUUGGUACACUUGGGUCAGCCGAGUAUAACCAUAAACUCGUUACCAGGCCACACUACACAUGCAGUUCCCCCAUCGGCCAAUGGCAUACAUUUCCUGGACUUCUCUAAGCAUGAUGACUACAUCCAUAUGUUGAGCUGGGAUGACACUGAGCUAGAGCCCGUAGUGUCAGAUGGGAUUUAUGAGAUGGACGGAGCGACUUUGGGGCCUAGGAUGCCCGCUCCAUUCUGACUAGUUCAUAAGGCAGCAUUAGUACAGACUGCCACUGUUGAGCCUCUAACUUUCACACGUUAUAGUGUCCAGACUCCAUUCAUCUUGAUCCCGGAUGUUGAGGAGGUGCAGGCUCCACAUAUUGAUAUUUUUCAGACUUCGGGUGUUCAGUAUAUUCUCUGAGGAGGUAGAGUAUUGCGACAACCGCCUCCCACAACUACUAGACCCGUAAAAGGGACAUCUGCUCCCGAUGAGGUCAGGAGAGAGGAUGACAAGAUUUUGAGGCAGUUGCAAAGUAGUCAAGCUCGCAUCUCCAUCUGGAGCUUGUUAGCAUCUUCCAGUACUCACCGUGAUGCUCUGAUUCGAGCCUUGAGCCAUAUCAGAGUUGAGACUACUACCACUCCAAAGGGUUUGAUUCAUAUGAUGAUAGCUGGCAGAGCCACAUGCAUUGUAUUCUCGGAUGACGACUUGGCACCAGAGGGUUCGGACCAUACGCGUCCCCUUUACAUAUCUGUUGGUUGUUUAGGCCGUCGAGUCCAAUCUGUCCUUUUGGACAAUGGCUCAGCCCUAAACGUCUGUUUUCUGGCCACUACCAUUACCCUCGGCUAUGCACCUUCUGAUUUCGACCCCUCCACUAAGACAGUUCGAGCUUAUGACAACACUCGGAGAGAGGUUAUGGACACUCUAAAGAUCGAGUUGUUGAUAGGUCUGACCACUUUCAUUAUUGUAUUCCAGGUUUUGAGGAUUCCUACAUCCUUUAACCUGCUUUUGGGCAAACCGUAGAUCCAUAGAGCCGGGGCCAUUCUUUCUUCUCUUCAUCAGAAGGUGAAGUUCAUUCACGAUGGUUAGGUCAUCACGGUGCAGUCUGUGGGACAUAUGUUUAUUUCUUCUAAGCCGGUACUUUAGAUUAGUCAUAGUGAUGACGAUCUACUUCUGACUGGAUUCACCUUUGAUGAGGAGCAGACCCUGGAGAUAGAGGACUUUUUCCAAGAAUUUAUGGCUAUGUUGUUUGACCAGCAUGGCAGCAUAGUAGCACUUGAUAUGAUGAGGAACAUGUCUUAUCUUCCCAGCAUGGGACUAGAGCGGCGUCAGCAUGGGCCCAGCGAGUUCAUGACUUUCCCCGAUCACAAUGUACCAUUCAAACUCGGAUUCAUUCCCACUGAGGCCGAUUAUCGAUAUAUGGCGCGAUUGCACAAAGAGCGGGUGAGGGCUCAACUGACUCAUACGCCAUUUGAUUAUCCUGUUUGCCCAUACACAUUGAGCUUAACGGAUUACUUCGUGAGGGCAUCGGAGCCACAGACACCUUUAGAUAAGAUCAUUGGGAGACUCAUCACUACUCAGGAGGCCGAGCUUCAACUCCUCGUCCAGCAGUUAUGAUUGAGUGACGGUGCCCUGGGCACUUCGACUCCUGCAUUAAUUGCCCUUUCUUUUCCAGAUCGCAUUAGCCUCAUGACGUUUUAUUUCCCGGAUGAGAUCGAUGAGCACGGGACAUUUGCCGAGGUCGGAGACAUAGUGUAUGGAGUCGUGCCGCAUGACGAGUACGUUGAUGAGAUGUUCGUGAUGAGCUUGAGCCAGAUCGAUGAGAUAGUCCAGCCUGAGCUCACUUUAGCAUUUGAUCUUUUCGGGGUGUCCGUCAUCGAGAUUGCUAAGGAGAUCCUGGCUGCCCCUGCUCAGGAGUCUGUAGAUAAUGCUAUAGUUGUAGGUGAUUUGUUUGAUGGCCCUGUUGGCCUAGUUGAGGGAGUGUCUGACUUUGUGGACCCACCUAUGUCAUUUGAUGUUUUAUCGGGAUUUGUUUCCCGUCAUGAUGAUGUUUUUUACUCUUCAUUUAUAGAUUUGAGUAUUUUUUAGUAUUUGCUUGUCUCUCGUGAUAUUACUUUUUCAGUACCAUCCUCACCCACAUCACAAAUAUUUGACAUUGAUGAUGAAAUUGCACAGCAUGAUUCAGAUGAUGACUCAUCUUCUGCUUUUGAUUCGGACCCCAUUGAUCAAAGAGUUUCACCUACCGUAGGGGACAUAGAAAUCGUUGAUUUUGGCAUAGCAGAUCAACCUAGGGAGUUGACGAUCGGAUCAGAUUUAUCUACAGAUGAGAGGGAUAGCCUCAUCCAGCUGCUCAUAUCAUACUUGGACAUUUUCGCAUGAUCCUAUGAGGACAUGCCGGGCCUUGAUCCAUCUAUUGUCCAACAUCGUUUGCCACUUCUACCCCAUGCCAAACCAGUUAAGCAGAAGUUGAGACGAUUGCACCCUCAUUGGAGUUUGCAAGUGAAUGAGAAGAUCUAGAAGCAACUCAGUAUGGGAUUUUUGUCAGUAGUUGAGUACUCAGAGUGGUUGGCUAAUGUCAUCCUUGUUCCCAAAAAGGACAACAAGGUGAGAGUUUGUGUUGAUUUCCGAGAUCUCAACAAGUCCAAUCCUAAGGAUGAUUUUCCUCUCUCACACAUCGACAUGCUAGUUGACAGUAUGACAGGUCAUUCGAUGUUGUCCUUUAUGGACGGAUUUUUCGGGUACAGUAAGAUCUUUAUGGCUCUAGAGGACAUGGAGAAGACGUCUUUCAUUACUGAGUGGGGUACUUAUUGCUAUAGAGUUAUGUCAUUUGGAUUGAAGAACACAGGAGCCACCUAUCAAAGAGCGGCGACCACUCUCUUCCAUGACAUGAUGCAUCGGGAUGUCGAGGUUUAUGUAGACGACAUAAUAGUGAAAUCUCGAGACAGAUCAUAUCACCUAUCAGCUCUGGAGAGGUUCUUUGAGAGGAUCGGGCAGUUAAGAUUGAGGCUGAAUUCCAAAAAGUGAACUUUUAGAGUGACUUCUGGGAAGCUCCUUGGAUAUAUGGUUAGUGAGAGAGGCAUAGAGGUAGAUGCAGAUAAGAUUAGAUCCAUCCUCGACAUGCCUGCACCGAAGACAGAGAGAGAGGUUAGAGGUUUCUUAGGUAGACUUCAGUACAUCAGCAGAUUCAUUGCCAGAUUGACGGACAUCUGUGAGCCCAUUUUCCGACUCUUGAGGAAUAGUCAACCUACUGUUUGGGAUGAUCAAUGUCAGCACGCAUUUGAGAGGAUAAGAGAGUACUUGUUGUCACCUUUAGUCUUGGCACCUCCUACACCAAGCCGUUUUUUGCUCCUACACCUAUCAAUCUCAGACGUAGCAUUGGGUUGCAUGUUGGCUCAGCUCAACGAUUCGGGCAAUGAGCGAGCCAUUUAUUAUUUGAGUAAGAGGAUGCUAGAUUACGAGACGAGAUAUGUCAUGAUUGAGCGUUAUUGCUUGACAUUGGUUUGGGCCACUCGCCGAUUGAGACAUUACAUGACCGAGUAUUCAGUGCACUUCAUAUCCCAUCUAAAUCCUCUGAGAUAUUUGUUUGACAGGCCCUCUUUGGUCGGUCAUUUCAUGAGAUGGUUGGUAUCUCUGACUAAGUUUGACAUCCAUUAUGUCACUCAGAAGUCCAUCAGAAAGAGCAUUGUUGCAGAUCACCUGGCAUCAUUACCAAUCUCCGAUGGCAGAGCCAUUGAUGAUGAUUUCCUAGAUGAGGAUGUCGCUGUUGUGACUAGUCUGUCAAGUUGGCACAUGUACUUUGAUGGUGCAGCUAACCAUUCGGGAUAUGGGAUAGGCGUCUUAUUGAUAUCCCCUCAUGGUGAUCACAUUCCUAGAUAUGUUCAUUUGGCAUUCUCGGAUCAACAUCCUGCCACGAACAACAUUGUUGAGUAUGAGGCCUGUAUAUUGGGAUUAGAGACGACCCUUAAGCUUGGGAUUAGAUAGAUGAAGGUGUUUGGUGACUCCAAUCUGGUAUUGAGACAAAUUCAAAGCGAGUGGAAUACUAGAGAUGUGAAGCUUAGGCCUUACCACGCAUAUUUAGAGCUACUGAUCGGGAGAUUUGAUGAUUUGAGAUACACGCAAUUGCCUAGAGUGCAGAACCAAUUUGCUGAUGCCUUAGCUACUCUAGCUUGCAUGAUCGAUAUUCCUGUUGAUGCCAUUGUUCGCCCUUUGUUGAUCAAGUUGAGAUCUGUUCCUGCCUAUUGUUGUAUGAUUGACGAUACUGAGAUAGACGAUGGUUUGCCAUGGUAUCAUGACAUAUAUCACUUUUUGAGACUUGACAUAUAUCCUGAGGCCCUACGGCCAAGGAUAAGAGAGCAUUGAGGCAGUUGGCAGCCCGAUUUGUGAUUUGUGGCGAGACGCUGUACAGACGAUCAGUUGAUGGGAUGUUGCUAUUAUACUUGGACCACGCCUCUGCCAAUCAAGUGAUGUGAGAUGUUCAUGCGGGAGUCUACGGACCACACAUGAGAGGACAUAUGUUAGCCCGUAAGAUCAUAAGGAUUGGCUAUUUCUGGUUAACCAUAGAGAUGAAUUGUUGUCAGUUUGUUCAGAGAUGCCCAGAAUGUUAGAUACACGAAGAUCUCACUCAUGUGCCGCCUUUAGAGUUGCAUGCAUUGACUUCACCAUGGCCAUUUUCAGUAUGGGGUAUCAACAUCAUUGGGAAGAUUUUGCCGAAAUCUUCCAGUGGUCAUGAGUUCAUCCUAGUCGCCAUCAAUUACUUCAUCAAGUGGUUGAAGGUCACCUCAUAUGCGAGAUUGAAAUCAACUGGAGUUGCUAGUUUCAUCAAAUCACACAUUAUAUGUCGCUAUGGAGUCCCUCAUGAGUUGAUUUCAGAUAGAGGGGUACAUUUCAGAGCAAAGGUUGACACCUUAGUACAGAGAUAUGGCAUCCAGCAUCAUUGGUCGUCUACGUACAGGCCGCAAACGAAUGGGGUAGUAGAGGCCGCGAAUAAAAAUAUUAAGAGGAUCUUGCGGAGGAUGGUCGAGACUUCUUGGGAUUGGUCAAAGAAGCUUUCUUUCACAUUGUGGGCUUAUCGGACUUCUUUUCGCACCUUUAUAGGAGCCACACCCUACUCAUUGGUGUAUGACAUGGAGGCAGUGCUACCGGUUGAGAUUGAAAUGGGUUCAUUGAGAGUAGCACUAGAGCAGUAGAUUCCCGGGGCAUAUUGGGCUCAGGCUCGAUUUGAUCAACUCAAUCUCCUAGAUGAGAGGAGAUUGAGAGUAAUAGACCAUGUUCGUGCAUAUUAGAGGAAAAUGGCCCGUGUUUUCAAAAAGCGGGUCAAACCCAUACCACUACAAAUAGGUGGCUUAGUCUUGAGAAUCAUCAGAGGAUUGAUCAGAGAUCCUAGAGGGAAGUUUAAACCCAAUUGGAGCGGACCUUAUUUCAUCAGGGAGUUGACUCUAGUGGGCGUUUCAUGGUUGAUGGAUUUAGAUGGAAACCAAUUCUCAAAGUCGACCAAUGUGGAUCAGCUAAAGAUGUACUAUGUUUGAGACCAUGGUCGUAAGAUGGGUGACCAUCAUUUCAGUUAGCCAUAUACCCUUUCACUCUUUUGAUAUAUAGUCCAUUGCUAGCCCAUUGAGCCUCGCACUCACAUUAUAGCCUUUCUUUCUUAUUGCUUUGCUCACACUUUCACACCGGGAUAGGGACCCUUUUAGUGUAUGCAUGCAUUGUUUAGGGGUUUCAUGAGCCUUGGACCUAAGGGCGCAUUUUUCUCAUUAUCUCUUCCUAUCACUGCAUCACUACAUCUCAUCUCAUCUCAUCUCAUUGAUUAUGUUAUUCAUCUCAUCUUUGUUAUUAUAUCUGUUGCCUAUUUUGUAUCAUCUUCUUCUACCCCGAGUGGUAAUCCUCUUCAGUUCAUCGUAUGGAGGGUAGUCAUGUCAUUUCUAUUAUCUAUCCCACGGACAUUGAUCUAGGGAUCCUUAGUUUGAGAGGGUCACUUCGUUAAGGAGAGUUUAUUCUACAUUAGUACUUAAGAGCAUGUUUAUCCAUUUUUGACCUCAUCUUGAAAGCUUCGUGGUUUGUGUUUAGAGCACGUACAUUUUGUAUAUAUGUAAAAACAAAAAAUGAAAAAUGAAAAAUAAAAAGCACAUGUGUGUAGUAUUUUCUAUCAUUGAGCGUGUAUAUUGAUAUUCGAGGGUCACUUUGUUGGGUAUGUCUAUUGAUGGGAGUUCGUAUGUGAGCUCCCCGAGACCUUUCAUUCUUCGUAUUCAUUUUGUUGUAUAUUUUGAGAGAGAGACAAGUGAUGGGAGCUCUGGGUCAUUGUCCAUCCCAUCAUUACAUUCAUUAUUGACGUGACUUCCCUUCAUAUUUGAUUUGAGCGGAUCAUCACUCAUUCUCGUGUUCUAUGCUUCAUCAUCAUCCUCGUUUUCACUUUUGAUCCAUUGUUUUCAUUUCACCUCUCAUUUUUUUUCUCACAAAGACUCAUUUUCUGGUUUGAUACUCUCUUUGCAUCAUCAUUGCACAUUUCAUUAUCAUUUCGGUUCCCCUCAUUGACACCAUGUUCGCAAUAGGCAUCCUCAGGUCCAUGGCUCAUAGGAUUUUUUUAUACAUGUUGCAUUUCAUACAUGAGGGCAUGGGUUUCUGAUCAUUGGGUAUUUGGGCCUAGUUUCCUUUCAUUUCUAUCACCCUACCACCCUAGCCUACGUUACGUCCCAUGUCUUAAGACCACCCUGAGGCCAUGGGAUCAUAUAUCGUAUUCUACAACUUCUACUUGGACAAGUGUUUGAGAUCUGGUUGAUAUUUAGAUAUCGUCACGCUUCUUCUUUUGAGAGACGCCUUUCUGAUGAUUAGAUUUUUUUCAGUUGUGUUUAGAUUACCGGGAUCACGUGUUUGAUGAGGGAUGAUCCGAUGUCACCUGUUUUUUUUUACCUGUCACACAUCCGAUGCCAUACUGGGGCAUAUUCCAUUUCGGAUGACAUUUACAGAUCUUCAUUAAGUUGCCCAAUCAUCCUUACUUGUGAGAUUUGUACCGAGACGAUGUCCCGUUCGCCAUUUUUAUGAUGAUUCCUCAGUAGAGACUCUUAGGAGCCAUCCGGUUAGGCCUGCACUUCUCGACACUCACAUGUCAUCAUGCUUCCUUCCGAGAUAUGCCUAUUCGAUGUUUGUAUCCAAUUCAGUCAUGGAUUUGGAUGACCGAGAUCUUAUAUUUGAUGAGGGAUGAUUCGAUGUCACCUGUUUUUCUGGUAUAUCUCAUAUUUGAUGCCAUACUGUGACAUAUUCCAUUUUAGACGAGAUUUAUGGACCCUCAUGGAGUUGCACGGUCAUCAUCACUUACUGGAUACGCACUUAGACGUUGACAUGUUCGUUACCUUAUCAUGACACCUUAGUGGAGCCUCUUCAGAUCCAUUUAGCCAGACCCUCAUUUUUCGGCAUUUGGUUGUCGUCAUGUUUCUUAUUCCGAGAGACGUUCCCUAUAUGUUUGGAUUUGAUUUGGAUCACAGAGAUCACAUGUUCGAUGAUAGAUGAUUUCGUGUCACCUGACUUCUGACCUAUAGUACAUUCGAUGCCAUACUAGGGCAUAUUUCCAUUCUAGAUGAGAUUUACAGAUCAUGAUGGAGUUGCAUGCUUAUCCCCACUUGUGAGAUGUAUAUCGAGACGAUGAUCUAUUCACUAUUUUUUACGAUGAUUCCUUAGUGGAGAUUCUCGGGAGCCACCCAAUUAGGUUCGCCUUUUCUGACACUUAGAUGUCAUCUUGCUUCCUUCCGGGAGACGCUUCUCAGAUAUGUGGGUUUGAUUUUGCCAUGUACGUGGAUGAUCGGGGUCACGCAUUUGAUGACAGAUGAUUUGAGCUUAUUUGAUUUUCGAAUGCACCACACAUUUGAUGCCACAGUAGAGCAUAUUCCCUCAUUUUUAGUUGGGAUUUGUAGAUCCCCAUUGAUUCGCAUGAUCAUCCCCAGUUAUGAGAUACAUGUCAGGUUGAUGAUUUGAUUUCAUUUUGUCCUGAUACUCCGGGGAGCCUCUCUUGAAUCCUUCAGUCGGAUUCAUACUCUCUGAUAUAGUCGUGAUACUUAGAUGGAGUUAUCGCGGGUAAAAUGGAUUCCCACAUCAUCAUUUUAGUGGAGUACAUCUUAGAUCUUUUACGCAUCCCCAUAGAGUUAUUCUCGAGUUAUUAGGACUGACCGGAUACAUUUGAUAUUAUACUGGGGCAUAUUUUCCUCCUCCAACUGUGGAGAUGAUUGUUCUCUCAUGAAUCUGUUACAAUUUUCAUCACUUGAUCGAGGGACAUUUGUUUGCUUUACUGGUCACCGUUCCUAUGAUUUUCGUCUAGAUGAGUUUUCAGUGUAGCACGAUGUUCGGGUUUUGAUCGCCUCACUAGCCAUGACUCUUUAGUAGAUUGUUAUGUUGAGAUUGUGGUAUGUCUUUUAGCGGAUUAUUCCCUUGAGACUCUAUCGGAUUAUUCAUUUCAGAUGACGAUGGACUCCUACAGCAGAGUGCUUCGAGUUAGAGGGUUCUGACUCAUUAUGACAUCUCGUCAGGCAUCGUGAUCCAGUCAAAUGGGUUGUGAGACUAUGUUUAUAGUCGAUUUGAUCAUUCCGACUCGCUAGCACAACAUCUUUCGAGGCUCAUGGACUCUCUUUCGGACCCUUCCAACGGAUUGAGAUUUGCAGCGACAUACUACACUGGGGCAUAUUUCCCCCUCAUCAUUUCCUUGCAGUUUGGCGUUUAGAGCCACCAUUCAUUCUCAGAUACGACGUUCAGAGUCGUCCCCUUGCAGUUUGGAGUUCAGAACCACUACAUCUUCUCAGUUAUGACAUUCAGAGUCGUAUUUCUCGACUUGACUUUCACAGUUAUUGUUGCAGUUUUGGUGUUCAGAGCCACCAUAUCUUCUCGCUUACGACAUUUAAAGUCAUCUUUCUUAGCUUCUCGCUCAUAGUUAUCAGUUUUAGUUUGGCGCUCAGAGCCGUUGUUUCUGCAUGGCAUUCACAGCUAUUAUCUUCGUUUUGGCGUUCAGAGCCACAUUUUCAUUUUUGGCAUUCUGAGCCUCUAUUUCAGUUUGGCGUUCAGAGUUGUUGUUUUCUUUUGGCGUUUAGAGUCAUUGUUUGACUUUAGUUCAGUAUUCGUAGCCAUCAUAGAUUUUUUUUCGGUUUGGCAUUCAAAGCCAUUGUUUGUUCUCAGUUUGGCGUUCAGAGCCGCAAUUUCAUAUCGAUAUCCAAAGUCAUCACCUUCUUCGGUUUAGCAUUCAGAGCCAUUAUUCAUUUUCCGUUUGGCGUUCAGAGUCACAUCUUCACUUUGGCAUUCAGAACCAUUACUUAUCUUCGGUUAGGCAUCAGAGCCAUUACUUGUCUUUAGUUCAGCGUUCAGAGCCACACCUUCAGUUCAGCGUUCAUAGCCACAUUUUGUUUCAUUUGACGUUAAGAGCCACAUCUUCGUUUCGGCGUUCAGAGCCACACUUUCAGUUCGGCGUUCAGAGCCAUAUUUUAUUUCAUUUGGCGUUCAUAGCCACAUCUUCGUUUCGGCGUUCAGAGCCAUUACUUGCCUUCGGCUUGGUGUUCAGAGCCACACUUUCAUUUUAGGCCUUUAGAGUCGUAUCUUCAUUUUGGUGUUCAGAGCCUUCAUUUGUUCUCAGUUCGACACUCAGAAUCCUCAUGUCUAUCUUUCAUUCGGUCCAUCACCAUUUUCCUCCAUUAUGGCGUUCAGAGCCAUUGGGCACACUCAUUCAGGCCUUUUUUUGAGUCAUUUCUUCUCUUUAGUUUUGGCGUUCAGAGCCGUUUUUCAUACCCAUUCAUGCAUCUUGAGUCAUUUCUUUUCUUAGUCUCGGCGUUCAGAGCCACUGUUCUGUUUGGCAUUCAAUGCCAUUAUCAUCUUUUUAUUAGUUUUGGCGUUCAGAGCCGUUGUACGUAUCCAUUCAGGCACUUUGAGUCACCAUUUUCUUUCCUCUUAUUGAUGUUCAGAGUCAUUUCUCCUUAGCCAUAUCAUUCAGGGUCACGGUUCUUGGUAUUUAUAUUCACUGGAAUUGCACAUCUGACCUUCAUGGUUUUGCGUUCACCCUCAUUUCCCUCACCUCAUUACUCUGUGCUUAUCGCCUAUUUGUCAUCAUACUUCCAGAUUUUCCGUUCCACUGCACAUGACGCAGUCCUUUGAGUUCACAACACAUACUUCAGUCAUGUUGUGGGGCACCUUGCACUUGGCAUUCUCAUAUGGUUCACUUAGGGCAGUCUCCUUGGGUCACGUUCUUUCUUGUACUCCAGAGUGGUUCGACCGUUACUCAUCUUUGAUAUGGUCUUUCGAGACACUUUUGGAGACAUUUUAGAGGGAGCCUAUGUCCUUAGUGUGGCUUCAGAUGCAUUUUGAGACAUCAUUUUCUUUUAGGAUUAGAGUCUUUGUUCGUCUAUUUGUUUGAGUGAGCAUGUGUUUCACUAACAUCCUUUUGGGGGUCUCCUUUGUUCUUCGGUAGAGUUCACUUCAUACCACUCAUUAUUCACACUUGCUUUCACUUUAGUGUUUAUAUUCCUUGUACUCGUGAGCUCUACCGAAGAUGGGCAUAUUUGUAUACCCCUAUUUGGGGCUUGUUCAUUUUUUUGUUUCUGUAGGUUAUCUUACCAGAUGUCACAGCCUUGGAAGUCCACGUGUCACUUUGUGGAUGGCUGCCAGAGAAUCAACAUUGCUUUUUGAAGUUGCAAUGGAAGGUCGACACCUGUUAUGGAAUCUUUUGGAAGACAUUAUGCAGGAGCAUAGGGGAGAGAAGGUGAGAGAUUCUAGUAGAGGUGGAGGUGCGUUUGGAGACGUGUUGGCUGGAGAUAUUUUAGGAGGGAUAUCCUUUUCUUGAGGGGUGAGCUAUAGGAGCUAAAAAAAAAAAAAUUGGCUAGAGGGAGAGCAUACGGGAGAUUUUCGGAGUUGCUUGAGAGGAACAGGUAUCCUGCUACCUACUAAGAUGGAGAGAUAUUUUUGGAGGGAUUUUUUCUUGGAGGGCAAGCCAAACGAAGGGGGGAGAGGAGUACAUUUUUAGGGAUAUCUACAGAAGAGGCCUCUUUUGGCUAGGGGGAGAGGAGCAAACUGAUUUUUUUAGGGAUUCCUUAGCUUUGAGAGAAAGCGGCGUUUGGAACGAAAGACAUUUUGAGGAGAUCCUUGGAGCGUGGGGAGCAAGCAACUACAAAAAAAAAAAAAAAAAAGGAAGGCUAGUAGGGGAUAAUCUCAAAGGGGUAAUGAGACUGUAACUACCGAAGCUUUAGAGGAACGUUUUGGAGAACACCUUAGGUAUGGUUCCUUGGUACACUUUUCAUUCAUCAUUCCUCGAUGUCACUGGUCUUGAUCAUCUGAUCUUGCUACUUGAGUAUCGUCAUUUUAUCUCAUCGUACAUUGAGUUGCAUUGUCUUGUUUGAUAGGUAACUGCUAUGUUGUUUUGUUUGUUUUUUUUAACUUUGUUUUUCAUUAAUCAUAUGAUUACUCCAUGUUUCUCCCACCCGUUCUAGGUCCUCUUAUUAACACAUGAAGUAGGACCUGGUUUUCCCAUGAUUAUACUAUGUUUUUUUUAGUAUUUAUUUCCUUUCUUUAUUCAUGGAUGCUGUAAGGCUAGAAUCUUAAAUCCAUUGGGUCUGAGGGAAGACAAGAGAAAAUUGGUUUCUGCUAGUGAUGAGCAAGUUGUGGCAUUUGAUCCUGUAGAAGCAACACCCAUCAGAAAUCAAGUGUCAAGUUCCACUAAACUGACCAUCUAUUUUGGGUCCAAUUCAGAGCCUCAGGGAAGAACCCUUGGGAUUGUUUUCAGUGGGGUUUCAUUGUCGCCUCUAUAGUUACGAAGAGAUACCUUGGUUGAGGCUUAUGUGGGGAAAUUGGUAUUGUGGAUGCCUCAAUUCUUCUUAAUGUAUUGAGCUGAACAUUCUCGAAUUAGUUUUUCAAAUGAUACCGCAUUUGUUUAGUCAACACAAAAUUUUCAAAAUGGGAAGCUAAAGAAAUGAUGAAUCCCAUGAACAUGCCAAGGGAGGUAAGAUGCAAAGACGAGAAACUCAAGGAUGGGAGUCAUGGAGAUAUCCUUCAAAAACUGUCUGGUAAAGGUAUCCUUCAUGCUAAAGGAUUGACAACAAAAUAGUGAACAUUUGAAGAUUUGCCAUGAGUCAGUCUGAAUACUUAUGGAAUCAAAGGCAAUAUUCUAUUUGAUCCAGCAUCAUGGUGUGCCGCCUCAAGCGUGUAGCUAAGAGUAACAACUUCUUCUCCCCUCGGCACCUAAUCAGUCUCUAACACGUCUAUAGUGGCUGCUCCAAAAUAUUCAGACAAAUACUACACUUGGGAAUAUCUCUGACAUUCUGUAAAGGGGAUUCAAUGCAGCAAGGGGCAUUUUCAAUUAUGCUUGUCAAUUCUCAAAUGCCACGUCAAGGAAGGUCACUAUGGUUCCAUAACUAAAACAGUGAUAGUCCUGUAGUCUUCAGCAACACCUUCAUCAGCAGUAUGCCGCAACAUCGCCUUUUUGAAAUACAAGCUUUGUAAGAGAAAUAUCCAGCUUUCACCCAUGCUUAUCCUCCAUUCUUGAAGACCUAGUGUCCCACUCUUCCAAUCUUAUUUUCCAUGCAUUUCACUGCCAAACCCAUUAUUACACCCUCGUCUUUAACCUCAAACUGCUCAUAUCCAUCUCAUCCCAUACCCACAUGCAUACCACUACUUUUCUCUCUCAACGUUAUCACCCAUAUCCAUUAAAAUCAUUUUCUUCCAAUAUCCAUUUCGUUCAUUUUAACAUGGCCUUCCCUUGCAAAUUCCCUUUCUUACUUCUACCUCAGAUGCAUGCAUGGCCACCCAUCAAGCCCACCGUGCCCAUAUUUCACACCAUGUACCCUUCAUCCCUAUUUCCCUUACCAUUUUUAGGUCCACUGAACUCCUAAUCCCAUAAACUUACCUCGUUCAUCAACUUUUCUAUUCUUUCCAAACCCCAUUAAACCCAUCAUCUCCAUAACCAUUUUCUAAUACCUAUCAAACCCAUUCCUUUCACCACUUUCCACCAUCCAUUCCAUGCAUUUCCACAUUCACUUAUUGCCAAUCUUCUCGUGUGCAUGAAGCUCCAUGAACGUAGCCACCCUCCGGUGAAACCAAUGCAAGAUCAACAAGGAGAUCCCAUAUGACCCAAAAUCAUGCCCGCUUCUGGAUGAGUGCAGUCAGAUUCUGAUUGCCGCCACUGACAGUGUCGAAGCCCACCAGUUGUCGAAUGUUCGCAGAGACUUGCGUGAAGAUUCAGUUGUAUUUAUGAAUAAAAGCACUAUGUUGAAGCGUCUCUUCAAGCUUCAUGUUGUGAAGACCGCAACCAGGCUUUCCUUCAUCUCGUUCUUCUGUUCAUCGGUAACGUAUAUUUGGUUUUCAUAAGGAAUGAUCAUGAGGAAAUGAGUGAAGAGGUUGCUAAGUACAAGUUUUCAGUCCUGAGGUGUUUGAAUAUUACAGAAGGGGACCUCGUUAAGGAGUUUGCAGCUGAUGCACCCCAUGGAAACCCGAAUGUCCCAAGCAUUGAUUAUGCAGGUGUACCACCUAGCGCCCUUAGAAGUUCAUGAACAAGAAGUUAAGCGAAAUUACAGAUCAUUUCUAUGGAGGUAAGUCUUAGUUAUUCCAGUAUUCUUAACCUCCAUGGUCUUUAUGUAUUUUUCUUGGGAAAUAAUUAGAUAUUUCAACCAAGAGAAAGAUAUUUGAUGUUAUUGCCAAGCUUAUGGACCUGGCACCUGAGAUUGUGAUUCUGUUGACACUAGGCUGUGAAAGAAAUGUGCUAUAUAGGUUCAAUGGAGAAUAUCAUGAGAGCUAGUUGGUUUGUGCAAAUGAAGUUAACAGUGGGAUUGGUAAGCAACUGGAGGAUUUCUGAGAAGAAAUGGUGAAAUUCCAUCAGCAAUGAGAAGAACAUAUCAUAUUAUAGAGAUACAUAAGGGUCUUUGGUUUUUUUCUUGCUUUCGUCAUGUGAAGGUGCUGGGGUAUUGGUAAUGAAGAGCUUGGAACAUGCCAUGAAACGAGGUGCUCCAAUUGUUGUCGUGUACUUGCGAGGUGCAGUUGAUUGGAACGCUCAUCUUAUGGUUGAUCCAAGAUCUGAUGGGCUUGGUGUUUCAUCAUGUAUUGAGAGCAUCCUUGAGAGCGCUGAUGCCACUCAUCCUAUUCCAGCUGAGGAAGUGGUGCUGAAUGUUAAUUCAUCAUCACAUGGAGAAUUGGCGUUUCCCAAUGGCUCCUCAAUAGCUGCAAGCAGUGAGGGGUGAGUAGGGCCCUACAACGUCAUUGUCUGACCUGGUGGCUAUUCAAGCACCCAUUCUCACUGCAUGGCCACCUUUAGCAUGGUCACCUUUGGGCCAUGUGUCACCCUCCAAAUUCCUUCCCUUUGAUUUUAAAAAUAAUUUCUUAACCCUGUUUUUCAAAUAAUUUUCCAAAUCCCGACUUUUCAAAUAAUUCUCAUUCUCUAAAUCUUUCAUCCUUAGAAUUGUUAGCUACCAAAAUCCCAUUUUUAAUAAAACUUUGCUGCCAUUUUUCUUUCUGGCAAGCAAUUUUCACAUUUCCCAUGAUCUUUAAAAUGUUUUAAAAUAAGCAGGAAUUAAAUCCCGUAAUUCCAAAUAAUGGAGUUAUUGGAAUUGAUUCAUGCAAAAUAAAAUGGGUUUUGGUGAGGGCCCAAUAUCAAAUAAAUUUUCUUUAAAAUAAAAAUGAACUCGAGUGAAGUGUUAUGUGUGCCAUUGAUGAUUUUGCAUACUGUUUAGUGACAUGCCAUCUAUAUUUUGUAUUUAUCAAUUGUGCACUAACCUCCUUUCUUGAUAGCGCAUUAUGGAUCGUUGCCCAAGUACGUAUCUAUUCGCAUCCUAGUCAUUCUCUAUGCAUGUUCUGAUUCUCAUAUGUGCAUGAUCGAUUUGAGUAUCCAUUGAUUUUCUUAUUGACUGCCAUGUCAACUUCAUUUUAUUAGUAGAGACCCGACUUUAGGGACUUAGAGGGGUGCUACAGUUUUUACCGUACCUUCCCGAUAAGUAACCUGACCCCCGAGCCUGAUCCAUUUUUUCACAGACCACAUUUUCCAAAAUAAAGAGUCACACUUAGGGUUUUCUUUCUUAUUUUGUUUACCCUUUUAAAAAAAUAAAACAAAAAUAAGUGGCGACUUCAAGUCAUUUUCAAAUAAAAAUCGAGCUCGCUAUUGAGUGGAAGCGCAUGAGCUGAAAUGCAGGGUCCACAAGGUGUUCUCUCCCUUAUAAAUGAAGUGGAGCUUUCAAUUUAUAGGUUUCUAGCAUCGGGAGCCAAAAUGCCAAAAAGUAGCCUCGACCGAUUCUCAAUCGAGCCUUGACUAAAACUUGACCACGAAAGAAAAUCCAUCGACUGAGAAUGCAAGGCUACUAGAAGAGAGAGAAGGUUUUUUGCAUUUCUCGAUUGGACCUCGAUUGAGAAGUGUCAAUCAAUCGACCAAUACCCUAAUUGGUUGAGCUGAUUCACAAGUGCCUAGAUUGAUUCACCAUUUUUGUCUUGAAAACCUAUCUUUGUCUAGUCUUUUUGCUUCUAACACUUAGAUAAGGUCUUUAGGUAAAUUAAUAUGCCAAUUUUGAAAUGGUUUGCCUAAGGUUCAUUUGAUAAAACUCGGAUUUUGAUGGAAAUAUAACUUUAAUACAUAAACCAAGUUUUUAAAAAUACAUGAAUAGAUGUGAAAAUCCUAAGUACACCCAUGCAUUCAUCUUACAUAUGUUUUAUAUGAUUAAAAGGUCUUCCAACUAUCUUGAUCUUGCAUCCAUUGGGUCCCUUGAUGAAUUUCCAAAUUAACACAUGAAAUUUUUUAUAAUUCAAACUAAUUAGCAACUUAACUAUGGUUUGUUAUCAUCAAAACAUGAUUAGGAGAACCCUUAGGCUAACAAAAAGAAACAAAAUUGCCAACAUAUAAACAAGAGUUAAUAUCUUAACAGGCCUUAAAUUCAUUCCCAUGAUUCCAUAAAUGAAUACUUAGACCCUAAUGAGGUUGAAUAGGGUUCUAACUUACCUUUAAAAAAUUGCAUGUAUUUUUCUCAAGAAUGAACAUAUUUUUCUUAAUGAUGUGUGUGGACUUAAAAAUCAACAUAAAGGUGAUAGAAUACCUGAAAUCCAUUCUUGAAGUUCUACAACUAAAUACGUAAAACCUAAUAAGGUCAAAUGGGGUCUCAAUCGCCCUUAAACAAAUGUACAUAUUUUUCUUAAGAAUGUAUGUGAGCAUAGAAAUCGACCAUGAAGGUGGAGGAAGGCCAUAAACCCAUUCCUAAGGUUCCACAAAUGAAUAAUUAGUCCCUAAAAUAAUAUUGCAAAAAUAUUUUUACUUUUACAUAUAGUAAGAUUUACAAAAUAAAUAAAUCUUUUAUUUAGCAUUAAAAUAAAAAAUCUUGUAUCAUCGACCUCUAAAUAAUAAAAUGUAAAUUUUAAAUUUAAACUUUAAACUAUCAAAUGUAUUAUUACAAUUAAUCUUUAAAAUCAUCAAAUAUACUAUUUAUGGGAUAAUAUUUUUAUUUUUUGUCCAUUAUAUAUAUUAUUUAAUUUUUUAUAAUAAACUAUUUUUAUAUAUUUUCAUUUUAUAUUUAAUGUGACAAAAAAAUGAUUAAAAAUUAAUAAAUAUGGAGAGAUCAAAAAAUGAAAAAAAUUUGAAAUUAAAAAAGUUUUAUGGGAGAAUACAAUAGCAUAGUAGAAAAAAAUGUGAGAGCAGAGAGGUGAUGUUAAUGGAAGAAAAAGUAAUCAGUGUACUUGUCAUGUUAUAAUUUAAAAGAAAAGGUAAUUAUGGAAUUUUAGUUCGAGUUAACAUUCAAGCUUCAUUUUUCCCGCUGCAUCCAACUGUCGAGUCUUGUAUAGUUGCUUUACUCCUGUCAACGAAUGGGGCAGAGGCGAAGGUGAAGAUCCAGUUAUGAGAAAUUGUGUGAUGUGAAACCCUUGAAACGAUGUCGAAGUGAGGAGUAGUAGAAAACAAUCAAGCCAUCACCGAUCGCCUCCUUACCUGUCGCCAACGCCUUUACAGUUCUCUAAAUUUUGGAUUCAGGUCUUCUUUCCUUUUUUCUUUUCAUUUCUUUUUUUCUUUUUUCGGAUGAAUUUGAGCCUUGUUUGGUUUCCAAGAAAGAAAUUGAUUGUUUUAGAGUUACUAAGAAUGUGAAAGGAAAGAUAAAUGUGGACAAUCUAUAGUUUCGGUUUCUGGUUUAUUUCUUUUCUUUGCUGUGUUUUUUCUUUUCUUUCAUGAAUUGACUCUUGUUUUGGUUGCCGAGAAAGGGAAGGAACUGAGAAUAGUAAAAAUUGUUGAAGAUUUAGGACGAAUUUGAAAGGAAAGAGGAAUCUGGAAGUUCUUAGUCUCGGAUUCAGGUUUUGAUUUUUGUAUCACAAAAGGGUAUGUCUUUCUCGGUUAUUAGAAAAUCUUUUCCAGUUGAAUUUGGUCAGCGAGUCAAGUUUCUUUGAAAGUGAGCAUUGUAAACUAGGCUUGAAGUAGUAGUCUGUAAGAAUCUUUUAAAUAAAUAAUUUAGUGGAAUUAUGUCACAAAAGGUGGCUUUUUUUGUAAAUUAGAGAAUUUUUGUAGUUGAAUUCUGAGUCCACUUUCUUUAAAAAAAUUGAAGUAAAUUUGAAUCAGUGUUUGGUUCUUGUUUGGAACCUGAUUCAUUUCCAAAAGAUAGUAGGCAGACCAAAAAAUUUGUAUGUUUUGAGAUCCAAGCCAAAUUAAGUGUCAUGCAAAUUUUACUCUUGCCCAGGAGAUUAUCACGCUUACCAGGGGAACAAAAAUGAUUCUCAAACUGUUCUCAAAGAACUCUCUGCUAAAAACUCCCUGGUCAAGUUGAAGUUCAAAACAUUGGAUCUGUCAUGAAUUGGACAUUAAUCAAAUUCCGAAUGAAAAUAUUACCUGCUGCAUAAAGUGAAUUUUAAUAUCAAAAUCAUAGUACUAUUUUGAAACAUACAAUUUCUUCUAUUAAUGCAAAAAAAAAUGGUAAAGUGCAAAUAACUAGAGGCUUUGCUCCUCAGGUUUGUUGCUCUAAUUACAACAAUCAAUCUGAAAGAUGUAAGCCGAUGCAAUCCACUGGAAGCUCAGAAAGGUUUAAACUAGUAUCAUGCAAGAAUUUCAUCCUGCCCAAAAUAGCAAAUUUUUAUAUAUCUGUCUCGCUGUUUUCCUGCAUCACUAUCCUAGAUUUCACAUGGUAAUGAUCAUACACCCAUGACAGACCUAAACUGUUCAGCAUUUCCUGCUUUGCUUAUGCAUUGCAACUGUAGGUAGAAAUCUUAAUCAUCCUACCUAUCUUUACUUUCUUGCUCCAAGUCAUAAAGUGCUGUCUGGCUAGAACUUCCUUUACUGAGUGAAAGAGCACCUAUUCCUAGAGAAGCAAAACCCUCCACAGAGCAGAGGCAGAAGGAAAACAUGGAAGGAGAUGAUGGCCUAUGUCUGGAUGUGAUAUGCACAUGAUAGAAUAAUUUAGAAAUAAUCCACUCACUAAGAUCUUGCCCAUUACCACUAACCAUACGGUAAUGGAACUUUUGACUAUUGUUUCCAUUUUCUGAUCCUGUUAGUAGAAUGCAUGAAUAUUUAUGUAUUAUCUAUUCACUGGAUGGUUUUUUGUAGUAUGAGUGUCAAAAACGAAACUAUAUUACCAUAUUCCUAAUUUGUUUUGUGCCCCAGCAGUUCUUAUGAUGACAAAGAAAGGAAAUGGCGGUGUGGAGAUAUUGAGAUGCAGAAGCAUGUAGUCCACUCUAUUAGUGCAUUUCUUGGAUGUAUUUCAGCAUACACUUGUCAACAUCCACUUGUAAAGGGAGGUAACAGUAUCCAUUUCUUAUAAAGCUUCAAGGGCUAAGAACAACUUGAUGUUGCUACAAUUGAUGUGUGGGGCUUCACAAUAGUUUACAUUUGCCAUUGUGCUCCAUUUAGAUGCCUGUAUCUCUGUCCAAACUGUUAUACAUUUUUUAUUUCUCUCAAGUCUGUUUUGUGUGUAUAGUCAUAAUUUGGAAUGGACGAGCACCAUUCUCCUUGUGACACAAAUGCAGGCAUGUCAUUGUGGCUAUAAAGGUGGUAUUCUCAUUCUGAAGAUUACCAGAAUGGUCAUGCCAAUUCCAAUUUCUGACACCAGUCAUUCAAACACAGUCUAACAGUAACUAUUGACAUUAAAAUAUGGAGGUUCUACUCCAAGUAUAACUCACUAAUCUUCUCUUUUUAUAAUUAUUUUACUGUGAACAUGUGUUUUUCUUAUUACUAAGAAGCUAUUGGGAAUGACCAUUAAUUUCAGUUUUUGAACUUCAUAAGUUUUAGGGGUUCUUCUAGCUUCAUCCUGGUUGAGAAAUUGAAAAUGCUGAAGUUUAAUUUGAAGAGACAGAACAAAGAGGUUUUGUGCAAUGUGGUAGUAGGAAAGAAUUUGGCUCUUUACCAAGUGGGUUUUUGGGAUUCUAAAGAGAGGAUGAGGGCUUUAUAUCAAGAAGAGGUGGUUGCUAUGGUGGAAUCAAGGGUGGGAUAUCGUAAAUGGGCUCCCAUGAAAGAAAUGAGUUGAAGGCAGUGAUCAAGAGAGGUUUGGUUAAAGAAAAGUGAUAGAAAUAUCGUUUUCUUUCAUAAAAUGUCAAAUGCAUAUAGAAGGAACAAUUUGGCUAAGGUCAAAAUUAACGGGGUUUGUCUAAUAGAGGUGAUAGAGAUUAGGGAAGGGAUUGUCUGGGCUUUUCAAAAUCUCUUGUCGGAGCCAAGGGAGUGGCACCCCAAUAUCAAGGAAAUGAAUUUUGACACUUCAAAUAGGUAGGAUGUAGCAAAGUUGGAGGAGCCUUUUAUUAGAGGAAGAGGUGUUCAGUGCUAUAUCAGAUCUAAAUGGGGACAAAGCUUUAAGGUUGGAUGGUUUCUCAAUAGCUUUUUGGCAAUUUAGUUGGGGCUUUUGUCAAGGAAGAGGUGAUGGGACACGACAAGGAGAAAGGGGAGGAGGAGAGGAGGGGGAAGGGGGAAGUGUGGAUAAGAUCUUAAAGAUUUUAGACCUAUAAGUUUGGUUGAUAACCUUUGUAACUUGUUGUCUUAGACCAAGUUGUAUAUAGCUGAAGGCUUAAUGUCCUUAUAUGACUUCAUUGAUUGGUUAGGUUCUUAUUGAGGGAGGAAGUAGGUUUUUGUUAUUCCUUUCCCUUCUUUUUUUCUAACACCUUUUGGCGACCGAUGUAUACGUCUUGUAUACUUUGGUGUGCCCUCUUUGGCGCUUAUUAAUACUAUUUCCAAUCACCUAUCCAAAAAAAAAAAAAAAAAAAAACAAAAACAAAAAGAUCUAAAUAGACUUGUAAUUUUUCUUUGGUUGAUAAACAAUGGGCUUAGAGCUGGCAAUGCACAUGGGUAAAAGAUUGCAAUAAGAUGGUUAUGUGAUGUUAAGUGUUAACAAGAAAGGACAUUUGACGAAGUUUCAUUUUUGGCAUUAAAGAGAAGAAUCAUGCAAAAAAAAGUUAGUUAAUUUGUACACCUAGUGUAUACUAAAAAAAUAUGUCAAAUUUCAUUAGCUUUUAAAGUUUACGUUUGGAACUUUUGAGGAAGGUUGCAAUUAAAUUGAAGAGAGAGAUUUAAUCAAUGACAAAAGAGUGUGUUUCUAAGAGAGUGAGAGAGGAGGGGGGAGGCGCAGCUAGCAUGGAACAUUUUAUUAGGAGUUGAACAGAGAGUCGGUCAACUCUUGGUUGUUGGUAAAUGCUAAAUUAUUUUGAAUUAUUUAUAACUAUUGUUCACUUUAAAUAUGGGCAAUAUGAACACCUUAUAUUUGAAACUUCUUUAUUUUCCCUAGCAGUUACUUUUGUGACACUUUCUUCUCUAGGUUAAUCAAUGGUUUCUUCAGAGGUUGGUCAAAAUUUAAUAUUUUAACAUUAUGGAAAAUAGAGGAAGCUCCUUUUAUUUGUGAUUUUGAAAGGUUAGAGUGUGAAAAGUGGUCAAAAAUGAAGUUUAAGGCACUUAUUUCUCUACUCAAAUUGGCACAUUACAUAUCACCCAACUUGUAUUGAUAAUCCUUAUGGUCAUGUUAUACUUGAUGAUACUUGCUGGCUGAGGUUUUGUGAAUUGCAUUUGUAUUAGGUAUUAACAGGUAAGACAUGUCAAUUAUGAUGGAUUAGGUGAAAUUUAUUGGUAUAGAUGAUUCCUAAUUCUAAUGCCUUCUGGCUAUUUUUUCUAGGUCAUUAAAUUCAUAGUUGUUUUUUCUGUUUCCAGGAUACAGUUGCUGAUAUGAUUAAGGCAUUGGAAGGAAUUCUUCAAUGCUACAGUGACACUGUAUUAAUCAUUGCAGCAAAGGUCGCAUUGAAGUUAGUCUGGGACUUGCCCAGUUCAUUGCUGCAAUCUCUUGUGUUACAUCUUAUUCAGCCUUUUUUAUCUUUAUUAUCUUCUCAUCAAGUAAAAGUUGCUUCCCGGUGUGCAAAUGGUUUGAAUCAUAUCCUACCAUAUCUGAGUUUAAAAGAGGAUGGAGUUAUUUGGGAGAUAUUGAAAGAAACAAAUGCAGUUAUUCAUGUUAUCAAUAAUAUACAAAAAUUUUCCAGAGGAAUGGAAUCAAUUAAAUAUUUCCAACGGAUGGCUUCUCUUCUAAGGAGGAUAUUGUGGCAGUGGCCGCCCUCUCGCUAUCGUGUAUGGAAUGAUGCUGAGUUGUUGAGGGUUUUGGAGGUUAUACGUGUAAAUCCUGAUUCUUCUGUUAAAGCUGCAGUUUUGCAAUUGUAUUCUGCUUUAGGUAUUAAUUUUUAGUGGUAGUGUUCUUACUUUACCAUGCUCAAGCCCAAUUAGCUUACAUUAUUAAAUUUGUGGAUAAAAUUUUUGUUGAUUGUAUGCCAGCUUUAUGUGGUAAUGGGGCUGAGAGGCUUCUAGAAAAUGGAGAAAACCUUCUAAAAAUGGUGGUGCAGUGCAUGGACAGCACACAACCUCCUUCUGUACGGAUAGAGGCAUUUAAACUCGCUCAGUUGUUGGCGGUAAUAAUCAUGCUUUACAAUAUCCUAUUUAGGUAAUGGCAUUUUCUUACAUGUAUAAGUUAUUCUCUACCAACAAUUGCACAGAUGAGUGAACAAAGAUGUUCAAAAAUGAUGAGAUUGUGUUGUGAGCCCAUUGUCAAAGCCAUAAUUUGUGGACUGAAGGGGUGUGGCUUGUCAGGUAGACAGAUUGCUAAAGACCGGAUUUCUUUGUUAGUGGAGGCAGGUCAUUUGGCUCUGAUUACUCGUUGGGCAGGGGAGCAUCACAUUUAUUUUUGGAAGCUAGGAAUUGCCGGUGCCCUAUCUACCCUUCUUCUACGCAAAUCUCAUAAAGCCCAACAACCUCCACAUUCCUUGUCAUUGGAAGAACUGACAUUCAUAACAGAUGAGGGUAGUGCAUUCAUCUGGGAAAUUAUUGUGGGGCUUGUAACCCACUGUGGGGAAGAUUUCAAUCCUGAGAUGAAUGGCACUGACGUUUUCAUCAGCAUCCUUAUUUAUUGUGCAUGGUAGUGUCCCUAUCCAUCAAUACUACGGUAUUCUUAAUUUUGCUUUUCUUUUCUUUUCUUUUUUAUUUUAUUCUAUUCUUUCUUCCUCAGGGACCUGAUCUAUGUUUUUUUCUGGUCAUUUUAACAUAUCAUAUUUUCCUUUAUCUUCUGGUUGCUGAUUUAUUUUAUUAUUCUGCCUAUGUUCUUUAAUAGCAAGACCUUUGUGGACUCAGUUGAUCCGAUUUUUGAAGAAGCUGCAAACAAUAUCAGCAGCUGUUUAGCAUCUAGAGCACUUCUGAUGAUGAUUUAUUCUCCCUGCAAAUACAUUGCAUCACAGGCCCAAUCCAAAUUGUCUAAGGCUCUAAAGGCAGAGGGAAAGCGUUAUCUAAAAUCCUUUACGGAUUACCUAUGCUAUGUCUCAUCCAGGGAUGAGUAUGGAAGACCAGAUGAACGCACUUUCUUUAGCAUAGUGGGAUUGACAUGUUAUUCGGGUUUGCCGCAGUAUCAAAAGUAUGUUUUACAGAGUGAAGGAAUAAAAACGCUGCUGGCCUUUAUAAAGCAGUGCUUAAAAAAUGAUUCCCAUUUGGGAAGGCUAAGUUUUGCCUCUAAUUUGCAAAAUAUUUUCAGUAGCUGGACAUGUUGCCAGACAUGUGCAGAAGAUUGGGAUGGCGGAGACAUUCUUAUGCUUUUUGGUCUGUGGGGGCUAGCUGAAUUGAUCCACCAUUCUGGUCGCAUGAGAAAUCACCCUGAUUUAUUUCGUGGCCAGAUGGAAUAUACUGAAGUUCAAUUCAUUAAAAAACUCCAAGAGAUCUGCAGUGAUACUUCUAUUCCUGGGCUAAGAUGGUAUGCUGCAUACCUUCUUAGUUAUUUUGGAGUGUAUGGUUUUCCAAGUAGGAUUGGUAAUGCACUUGGUGAAAAGGAAAAUGCAGAUAUGCAACUCAUUCUUAAAAAUGGAGAAUCUGUGAGCAUUCAUGGUGUUGUUCUUAUGGUCCAAUGUCCAUCAUUACUGCAGACUGUUGAGCUGCCUCUUGAUAAGGAAAGUUCUGAUGGCUCUUCAGUUAGACAAUAUACAGAGUCGGCGAAAAAGUUCAAGAAAGAAGUUCAUUUAUCUUCUCGUUUACGUCAUCAGCCAUUAGUGAAGCUAUUGGAAUUUGUUUAUUUGGGAUAUUUACAAGCAGGAGAAGACCUUGUGAAGUCAUUGAAAAGUUUUGCUAAACAUUGCAAACUGCAACCUCUACUACAAAUGCUUCAUAGAAAUCGUCCAAAGUGGGGCAUGCCUUUUCCUGGAUUGGAUCUUGCUCUUGCACUCGAUUUUGAUGGGCAUACUUUUUCGUAUGUUUCUCCUUGAUUAUUACCUUAAGACAUCUUAAAAUUGCAUCAAAUUGGCAUGCUCAUUUUCUUUUCUUCUUGACCCCAAGACUCUGAAUUUAAUGGAGUUCUCAUGAGCUACACUUCAGAGACAUUUAAUACAUUAUGCCUUUUCAUCAUUCAAUUAAAUGACCGUCUUCUGGACUGACAGUACAUCUCUCAGACUGGCCAUUCAAUGGAAAUGUACUAUCAAUAACUUCUUAGGAAUCUCUUGUUUUGGAGAUUUGCACUCUGUGACUAUAGUUAGAAGACCCUUGUGUUCUGAUUCAUCCAAUAGUAGUGGUAGAAGAUGUACUGGUUCAUCUAAGAUUAGAGAUGGGAUAGAAGACUUUCUGGUGUCCUGGUUCAUCCAUCAUGAGAAAUCCUUGGCAAGUCCAGGAAUGUCUUGUUUAUGUUAGAUGUUUGAUGGAUAGAAGUUGCUGAUAAGUGAGGGAAGGAGUUCGUAGGUAAAACAUUUUUCUUUCUUUCUUUUUCUAGGAUUGAACUUGGUACCUCCUACAUGCCCACCCAAUCCUGGCAUUAGAGCAGGGCCUGAAGGGCCUUUUGAAGACCACCAUCUUUAUAAGUGCCUUCUAUAUUUUUUGGAGGUUAAGGAUUCUAAAUUGUUUUUAUUUAUCUUUUUAUUUCAGGGAUGUUGCCUUGGAAGCUGAAGCAACUGAAGUGAUGCAGUGGACAUGCAAAUUCUGCUCUGUUUUAGUGCCUCAUAUGCACGUCCACAAAGUCAUAUUGUGGUCAAGUUGUGAUCAUUUCCGGGCCAUGUUCCGGUCAGGGAUGCAAGAAAGGUACUUACACACAUACACUUUGGUAUAAGAGGGUACUUCAUAUUUCUUUUGAUGCAUCUUUUAGUCUCCCUGGAUAGAGUCCCUACAAAAAGCAAAGUUCGUAUAUUUAUAAAACAAAAGGGCACAAUCUCUUGAUCUGUUGUGUAAAAGCUAUAAAGUUGGUAUUUCACCUGUAUUUGGGACUUUGAAUUCAUUAUUUAUAGUCUACUACUACUGUAGAUGCUAUGCAUAUGGGCACCACUUUGGAGGAGCUCUGUCCAAGGAACUAUCAUGGAAGUCUUCUAACUUACCCCCAUCAGAUUAAGUGCUCUUCUGAAAUGCCUAAAUACAUAUCAGCUAGACACCUAAAGUGUCCAAAUUUUCAAACAAAGUUUUUUUUUUCUUUUUUUUUUUUUUAAUUAUUUAAUUAUUUAUUUAUUUUUUAUGUUAUUUAAUCAUAUAAAAUGUUUAAAAAAAAGUGUCAUCUUCCAAAAAACAGGAGUGUAACAUAUCAAUUACCCCGCACCGAUUUAGCAAUUACGAUGUAUCUGAUACCCCUGCACUGAUUUAGUAAUUAAGAAAUAUCCUGGAACUAUAGACAUUUUCUUCUUUUAAUCAAUCACCUAGCAGUUUGUUCUCUGCUUGAUAUGCAUGUUUGUACUGUAUUACUGUAAAAUAUAUAUCCUAAGUUACCUCUUUGUGCUCUUUGCUCUUAUUUUGGCGGCCCUUUUUUAUAUCUCAACCAAUGCAACAUUUUUUAUCCUUGCAGCCGUUCCCCCUUCAUAAAGGUCCCUGUUAGUUGGGAGGCAUUGGUUAAACUAGUGGACUGGUUGUAUUCUGAUAAACUGCCAACACUCGUCACUGGCUGUUUAUGGGAUAACAUGGAUGAAAGGAAAAAGCUACAGGAGCUGCAACCGUACUUGGAGCUUUGUUGGCUUGCAGACUAUUGGUUAUUGGACGAUAUUCAAGAACACUGCUCAAGAGUGAUCAACUCUUGCCUGGAUUCUUCUGGAAACUUGUCUCUUGAAGUACUCCAUAUAGCUGCUAGGCUCUCCCUGUGGAAGUUGGCUGAGACUGCAGUAAAUCGCUUAGCCCCUUCAUAUAGCCGUCUCUGCCUCACUGGUGAAAUUGAAAAGCUGGAUAAAGACCUUGCUGACAUGGUUCAUGCUGCCUCUGUUCGACAUUCCCAGGAUUCAACCAAAUGCAAGUUAGAAGAGUAACAGGAGACAACAGGCAAGUUAUAGUAACUAUUUGUGAAUACACCAUACAUUUUGUAGGAUUGAACCCAGCUUUGGAACAUCAAAACUGUUUGCAACCUAGUUCCACCACUGAAUGUAUUUUCUGUAUCUUUCAAGAGG
rnacentral:lncRNA from 1 species